AUAUCAAAACAUGCUGCAAGAUUGCCAAUGUGUGUUGGGAACUGGAAUUAGAAUGUAACGUUAAUAUCUGAUAUGUCCCUUAUCUGGGGACCAUAUAUUAAAUUGAUUUUUGGAGCAGGGAGAUGGAAUAGGGGCUUGCUCUGUCCACUCCACGCAUUGACCCAGUAUUGCAGUAUAUCUGGCAACGGUGCACCUCCC